rnacentral:rRNA from 1 species
GACGAACCGUGCGAACGUUGUUCGGAAUCACUGGGCUUAAAGGGCGCGUAGGCGGCGGGUCAAGUCCGGGGUGAAAGCCCCCAGCUCAACUGGGGAAGUGCCUUGGAUACUGAUUCGCUUGAGGGAGGUAGGGGCGGAUGGAACUUCCGGUGGAGCGGUGAAAUGCGUUGAUAUCCACAGGAACUCCGGUGGCGAAGGCGGCACGCUGGACCCUCUCUGACGCUGAGGCGCGAAAGCCAGGGGAGCAAACGGG